UAGAAUGUGGUGUAUGAGGUANNACAAANAAUUUUGAGUUCUUGAGAUUAGGUUCGAAUCCUAUGGUUCUAG
rnacentral:tRNA from 1 species